GUGGGGAAUAUUGGACAAUGGGGGGAACCCUGAUCCAGCCAUGCCGCGUGUGUGAAGAAGGCCUUUUGGUUGUAAAGCACUUUAAGCGAGGAGGAGGCUACCGAGAUUAAUACUCUUGGAUAGUGGACGUUACUCGCAGAAUAAGCACCGGCUAACUCUGUGCCAGCAGCCGCGGUAAUACAGAGGGUGCAAGCGUUAAUCGGAUUUACUGGGCGUACAGCGCGCGUAGGUGGCCAAUUAAGUCAACUGUGAAAUCCCCGAGCUUAACUUGGGAAUUGCAUUCGAUACUGGUUGGCUAGAGUAUGGGAGAGGAUGGUAGAAUUCCAGGUGUAGCGGUGAAAUGCGUAGAGAUCUGGAGGAAUACCGAUGGCGAAGGCAGCCAUCUGGCCUAAUACUGACACUGAGGUGCGAAAGCAUGGGGAGCAAACAGGAUUAGAUACCCUAGUAGUCC
rnacentral:rRNA from 1 species